rfam:Oreochromis niloticus linkage group LG12, whole genome shotgun sequence.
CUGCAAUAAACAUUCAUUGCUGUCGGUGGGUUUGCAACAGAAUAACUCACUGAUCAAUGAAUGCAGACUGCGG